rnacentral:rRNA from 1 species
AUGGCGGAUCUGGGCCCCAUGGUUGGCGAGAAAGUAGUCGGAGAUGCGGUGCCACGCCAUGUAGGCGGUGACAGCGCCAUCAGUGAUGAGCUCGAGGAGAGGAUCGGCGAGGGUGAAGAGGAUCCAGAGUGCCAUGCGGUGGUCGAUGGCGAGCCAAGGGGCAUCGGCAUUAGCAGGUGGGGGGCGAUCGACGUGAUCCUCGACGCGGUAUUGGCUAAGAACGAUGCGGAAGAAAGUGCGGCACUUAGAGAAAUUCUUCCCCGCCGAAUCCAGCUUGAAUUUGAUGUAGCUGGAGAUGUGGUCGUUGUUGUUGGUGAGUGGAGGCUGGGAGGAGGAGGGAGCGGCGUUGAGGGGAAAGUUAGUGGCGGCGGUGGUGGAGAGAGGGGCCAGGGUGGUGGAGGGGAGGGGAGAUGUCCCAGAGUGAACCGACGAGGAGGAGGAGGAGGAGUGGGUGGCCGGGGAGGGAGGUUCGCCGAAAAGGUCAUCAAAGGCCAUGGCGACUAA